rnacentral:lncRNA from 1 species
CAGAGAACUUCCUUGAACUGAAACAAGCUGCAAGAUGAGCUCAUUUCUUAAAAUAUUAAUAGUAAACUUGGGUGAGACAUUCUUAUUACGCUUCCACUGCUGCAAAUUCAUUAAAUUGCAAUGAUAAUAAAUCUUGAGAGAAUAAGUUUAUAGCAGAAUAUCAGAUGGUUGUUUCUGGGUUUUCUAAGACCCCGAGAUUGGUUUGGCACGCAGCUGAACCAUCAUUUAUCUCUGCUGACAGCCCGGUUUUCAUUCCCAGCCUUUGUGCUGCUGUGCACCAAAUGACAGUGUCCAGUUGGGGGUAUUUUUAGUCUGCUCUGUAGCAGAUGCAGGCUGGCACAUCCCUGCCUCUCCAGUGAUGUGGGUCACAUUCCCAGCAGGAGCCACACCAAGAGAGGAGGAAGGAAACCAUUGCAGAAAUGGGAGUGGUGCAAAGCCCAAGCCUCAGAGCUCUGCUUUAGUGGGUCAGCUGCCAAGAGCUGCGUGACUCCACUUCCCUGGCUGAUGGAGUCGCCUUAUGAGAAUGAGACCAGGACAGCUGGAUCACAGACCUGCAAACCAGGCUUGGGCAAGGUGAACUUGUGCUUUUACUGUGAAUGUAGGCUGAAAGUACAUGUAUUUUAACAACUUUGCUAUCCUUCUACAUGAAAGAAAGAUCUGCUUGCUUUCUCUUUAGAUGAGUCCUUCUCCUGCAGGUUUGUCCUGUUCUUGUGUCACCACUAAUGCACUUAGGACUGAAUAAGCUCCCUGGCUGUUGCAUCAUGAGCAGAAUUAUUGCUUGCACUUCCUGAAUUUAUCUUCAUUUUCAUAUUGAAGUCAGCAAUAGUAGCUUUUAAUAUUAAAUGGGCCAGGCUGACAACUAGUAAAUUGAAACAGCAAACAAAAUGUGAUAUAAAAAUCAGAGGAGUCACCAUUGCUUUUCUUCCAAACACUUGAAAUAAGAGUAAAAAUCUUAUUUCAGUUUUACUGCUUGUAAAGGAGAAGGAACACUGGGG